CCCGCCUUUGUGUAUGCCGGACCAGAGACUCAUUGCGGGAGUAGUAGUCCGGUAAGGAAACCGCCAAAGAGCCCAAAAAUAGCGAUAGUGGUGACUUCCUGGAUGGGAUGGAAAAUGCAUCUCGACAAAGAUGGACGAUGAAUGCAGAAUACACUAUGUGCGUUUGCUGCGGUCAUCUUCCUUCUUUCCUCCUACGGAGUCUUGCAGCUAGCCGAGGGCAAUGCCGCGUGGCAUGAUUCCGAUUCUUCCAAGAACGAAGUCUGUCGAGGUCUUUCACAGCCGCCGCCACGCAAUACGCACCAAGCGAAGCGCAUAUAUGUCAAGCGAUGAUGUAUGUAGCUGCGUUGGCGUUGAUGUACGUCGAAGCAACUGCAACGGGAAGGGGGGCCGGAGAGGAGCUAUAAGGAGCUUGAAUGGAGCUUGGAGGUGUGCGAUUGGAGAACAACGAACAAUUGGAGCUGUAGCUUUGCGGUAGCUUCUCCACGUCAUUGGAUGGCACGACGGGAAUGGCUUCGAUGGCUCUGCAGGAAAUGCAGGUUCACAAAGCGAGAUGGGGGAUCGCGAGGAUGGAAAAGGAGAUAUCGCCCGCAGAAAAGAACACGAGUUGAUUGAUAUGUAAAUUGCUGAGAACAGCCCAUAGGGAAUAACCCCGAAUUUGC